UACAGAGGGUGCAAGCGUUGUUCGGAUUUAUUGGGCGUAAAGGGUGCGUAGGCGGUUAUGUAAGUCGGGUGUGAAAUUUCGGAGCCUAACUCCGAAACUGCAUUCGAAACUGCAUAGCUCGAGGUCUGGAGAGGUAAUUGGAAUUCUAGGUGUAGCAGUGAAAUGCGUAGAUAUCUAGAGGAACACCAGAGGCGAAAGCGAAUUACUGGACAGAACCUGACGCUGAGGCACGAAAGCUAGGGGAGCAAACGGG
rnacentral:rRNA from 1 species